AUGGGCAAUGCUAGAAAUCACUUGGAAGUUACAGAGGAGUAUGCUCAUAUGGUCAAGGCUGGUAUCAUCGACCCUGUAAAAGUGAUCCAAAAUGCACUUCAAGGUGCAGAAAGUUAUGAUUUAUGUGGUGUGUUUGGUAUCUGCUCCGGCGAGCUCUCUGGCUGCCUCGGGAUAGGUGAACGGAAGGCGCCGAACAAGUACUACCCGCCGGACUUCUACCCGGCGAAGAUCCCGCGGCAGAAGCAGCCCAAUAACCAGCAGAUCCAGGUGAGCAUGAGGCUCCCCAUCAGCAUCCGGUGCGGCACCUGCGGGACCUACAUCUACAAGGGUACCAAGCUCAACUCGCGCAAGGAGGACUGCAUCGGCGAGACAUACUUGGGAAUACAGAUAUUUAGGUUUUAAUUCAGCUGUACUAGGUGCUCAACUGAGAUUACCUUUAAAACAGACCCCCAGAAUUCAGACUAUACGGUGGAAUCUGGGGCUAGUCGAAAUUCUGAGCCUUGGCGUAAAGACAUUGAGGUUGUGGACAAAGAGAAGAGAAAACGAAAAGUGGAGGAGAUGGGCGAUGCAAUGAGAUUACUGGAGAACAGAGCAAACGACUCAAAGCAGGACAUGGACGUAAUUGCUGCUUUAGAAGAGAUGCGGUCCAUGAAGUCGAGACAUGCAGGAGUAUCCGUUGACCAGAUGCUCGAAAUUUUGAAGCACUCUGCUCACCUUAAGAACUCAAAAGAUUAUGUGAAACAGAUCGAAGAUGAUGACGGCGAUGAUGAAGGUUUCGGUAUGCCAGACCAGUCAAAUGUCACGGCAAAGAUCAAUGGAUCGUCUGAAUCAGUGUUAAAUCCAACAGAUGUCUUGACCAAAACUAAUGGUCCUGAGAGUUCCAACAAAGAAGGAAACAAGUCCGUGGCAUCUAAGAUGCCCAUAUUCAUAGUAAAACCGAAGACCGUUGGCGCUAAUCCUCAGAAGAAACAGAAGAUGAAUCCGCAGCUGUCCAAGAUAACGGCAAAGCACCCGCCGCAGAGGAAAAAAGUGGAGCUUCAGAAGAGAAGACCAAUGUUCUUCAGUUCCUCUGCCAGUAUGAUAGCUUCAAAAGUGAUGACUGAAGACAACACGUCUUGGAGUCACAUCUGCGCCUGAGGAGACUAGCACCGCUGUAAGCACGAUGGUGCAACUCAGAAUGUAAUUGUCUACUUCAGCAAAGUCUCGCCUGCCCUUUCCAGGGAGUAAAUAAACUCUCUAAUGCAAACUGUAAGCUUAUACUGUUGCAAAUCUAUGGCAGCUAAUAAUAGUCCAGAUAUAUCCGUGUUAGAAAGAUUUUUUUAAUAAAAUCUACAAAUUCAGAGCAGUUGAAGAAUUAUAUCUGGGGAUCAUAUUACUGAUAUCUUGUAAAAGAACUGACAAAAAUUCAAGGGAAGCAACACUCAGAUUGUGGAUA